GAACGAACGCUGGCGGCAUGCCUAAUACAUGCAAGUCGAACGAACACUUCGGUGUUAGUGGCGCACGGGUGCGUAACGCGUGGGAAUCUGCCCUUGGGUUCGGAAUAACAGUUGGAAACGACUGCUAAUACCGGAUGAUAUCGAAAGAUCAAAGAUUUAUCGCCCAGGGAUGAGCCCGCGUAGGAUUAGCUAGUUGGUGAGGUAAGGCUCA
rnacentral:rRNA from 1 species